AUUGAACGCUGGCGGCAUGCUUUACACAUGCAAGUCGGACGAGUGGCGAACGGGUGAGUAACAUAUCGGAACGUACCGAGUAAUGGGGGAUAACUAAUCGAAAGAUUAGCUAAUACCGCAUAUUAUUCGAGCGGCCGAUAUCUGAUUAGCUGGUUGGUGGGGUAAAGGCCUACCAAGGCGACGAUCAGUAGCGGGUCUGAGAGGAUGAUGCGGCAGAAUGGGACGGAGACACGGACCAGAAGGCUACGGGAGGCAGCAGUGGGGAAUGUGGGAGAAUGGGGGGAAGCCUGAUCCAGCCAUGCCGCGUGUCUGAAGAAGGCAUGCGGGGUGAAAAGGACUUGUGUCAGGGAAGCGGUACCUGAAGAAUAAGCACCGGCUAACUACGUGCCAGCAGCCGCGGUAAUAC
rnacentral:rRNA from 1 species